CACAAGGUGGCUGAAAUAAAGCAAGGGCCUCUUAAGCCCUAUUAUGGUGUGAUCACCCCUUGUGG
rnacentral:tRNA from 1 species